CAAAAGCUUGGUCCUGACUUUACUGUCAGCUUUGAUUAAAUUUAUACAUGCAAGUCUCUGCGACCCUGUGAGAAUGCCCUACCUACCCCCCGCCCGGGGUAUAGGAGCCGGUAUCAGGCACAACCCUCGGUUGGCCCACAACACCUUGUUAAGCCACACCCCCAAGGGAAUCCAGCAGUAAUAAACAUUAAGCUAUAAGUGCAAGCUUGACUUAGUUAAUAUCAAGUAGGGCCGGUUAACUUCGUGCCAGCCACCGCGGUUAUACGAGGGACCCAAGUUGACAGAAACCGGCGUAAAGAGUGGUUAAUAUAAUAUAAACUAAAGCAAUACACCCUCAAAGCUGUUAUAAGCUCCCGAGGGCAGGAGUAGCUUUCACGAAAGUGGCUUUAAUCAAUAUGAAUCCACGAGAACUAGGGAACAAACUGGGAUUAGAUACCCCACUAUG
rnacentral:rRNA from 1 species